rnacentral:rRNA from 1 species
GACGAACGCUGGCGGCGUGCUUAACACAUGCAAGUCGAACGGAAAGGCCUCUUUCGGGGGGUACUCGAGUGGCGAACGGGUGAGUAACACGUGAGUAACCUGCCCUUGACUUUGGGAUAACUUCAGGAAACUGGGGCUAAUACCGGAUAGGAGCUCCUGCUGAAUGGUGGGGGUUGGAAAGUUUCGGCGGUUGGGGAUGGACUCGCGGCUUAUCAGCUUGUUGGUGGGGUAGUGGCUUACCAAGGCUUUGACGGGUAGCCGGCCUGAGAGGGUGACCGGCCACAUUGGGACUGAGGUACGGCCCAGACUCCUACGGGAGGCAGCAGUGGGGAAUAUUGCACAAUGGGUGGAAGCCUGAUGCAGCAACGCCGUGUGCGGGAUGACGGCCUUCGGGUUGUAAACCGCUUUCGCUCAUGACGAAGCUUUGUGUGACGGUAGUGGGUAAAGAAGCACCGGCUAACUACGUG